rnacentral:lncRNA from 1 species
GAACCUAUAGAACAAUUUUAUUUAUGCAGAAAGAAGCAAAUGGUUAUUGUGAUCUGUAUAUAUUAUUGAGAAGAG